rfam:Triticum aestivum genome assembly, contig: Triticum_aestivum_CS42_TGACv1_scaffold_000936_1AL
CACGUACUCCCUCCGUCCGUCCCGAAUUACUUGUCGCUUAAAUGAAUGUAUCUAGCACUAAAAUAGUGUUUGAUACAUUCACUUGAGCGACAAGUAAUUCAGGACGGAGGGAGUACGAG